AGGCAUGGGGGGCAGAGAUAGCCUACAGAUCAGGUGAAGCAUGGCGGGGGGCACCUGAGAAACGGCUACCACAUCCAAGGAAGGCAGCAGGCGCGCAAAUUAACCACUCCCAACGCGGGGGAGGUAGUGACGAUAAAUAACAAUACAGAACUCUUUACAGGCCCUGUAAUUGGAAUGAGUCCACUUUAAAUCCUUUAACCUACAGAUCAGGUGAGGCAUGGUGGGGGGCAGAGAUAGCCU